CUCUAUGACUACUAUUAAUAGUUCAAUUCGUUUCAUAUCUUGUAAGUAACUGUAAUUAUAAAGGCUGGAUAAGCCUCAAGUCUGUGUUAUACCUUCUAUUUAUGUCAGAAGGUGCUAGGGAUCAUCUUGUAAUCAGUAGUACAAAUAGGAACACUGAAAUAUUGAUAUAAAAAAUUCAAAUUAAUGUAAUGACUGUGUUUUCUAUUCUGUCUAUACAUUAAUUUAAAAUUCUGUUGCAUCUUGCAAUGUUUUCUGUUGAAGGAUAUAUUCCAGCGUGUUUUGAUCUGUGAAUACUAAAUUGUUCAACACUGCUGAUUCCAUCCUUCUAGAAAGGAAUUUUCUUGUUACUGUAGUAUUUCUUUGAAAUACUAUUACAAAAUACAGUAUUUUGCUGCCCAGUACUAUAUUAUUGGGCAACAGAAGUUCUGAGCCUCAGUCAUAUCAGCAAGCCUCCUUUGUGACCUACAGGACGUGACUUGACCUGUAAGAUUUUGCUGCAUGAAAAAGGAGACACAUUCCUACAGCAGAAUGAAGAAAAGCAUCUCCCAGGAGAUUAAACUUUUCUAUUAAAGUGGUAUAGUGAACCCACCCAGUUAGUUUCUUUCCUAUGUCACUAAAUAUUUUGAAGGGUAUUUAAAGAUAUUAGCAGACUCUGUCAGAGGGACCAUGCAACACUAUCUAUAAUUUCUGUUGAGUCAGUGAAGUCAAGUGUACAUUUAACACAAAGCAGUGACAGGACUGUGUGUGCCCCACACUCAGCUACUGAAAUAAAUGUUACCAGCACUGCACACGUCAAACUGAUGCAACAACAAACCAUGUUUACACAUGUAUGUUCUGCCUUCUCCUUCUAGAACUGGAACCUGCUGCCAGGGGAACCUGCCACCCAGCAGGAAUAAACAGUGCCUGGGACAUCCCUGGCCAUCUCUCCCUUCAUGGGAAGAGCCACAGGGCAUGACUGCAUUCCCAAUGGACUGUGCCUUCCUCAGAAUCCUCAGCAAGAGGUUCCAGAAAUUUUAACAUGAACUCAUUUGCAAUUUUUAUGGAUGUAAAUCCAGUGAAUUCAGUGGAGAUACUUCUCGCUUACAGCAACAUCCAGGCAUCUACUGACAAAGGUGUGUGUGAUUUGUAAUAGGCCUUUGAUUACAAAAAUAUCUUUAAUACAAACAGCAGCAGCAUCAAAGCAGAAAGCAAGAUUUUGCUGACCAUAAACCUGAAAUUUUUAACAGCAGCAAUGUGUGACAACUAGAAUUGCUAUUUCAAUACAAUUACUACAUUCACUUAUUUUUCCUGAUGCACGUGGGCCAGCCCUGAAACAGCCUGAAAUUAUUUUUCUCACCUUGUCCUACAACCUUGCUUUGCCAAUACAUGCCUUGUUGUAGAUGACAAAAUACAUUAUAUAUUUUUUGGGGGGGAGGGGGGCGUGUGUGUUCUUAAUUCUUGUUCUGAUCUACAAAUGAAAAUCUUUACUUAAAAAAUUAGUGUCUAGAUACUGUUUUAUAUUGGUUCAUAUAGAAAGGCCAUGAUUGCUGUAAAAGAUUUGGACUGUCUAACUGAAGCUGAGAUACUUCAAAUAACAAAAAUGCAUCAAUACUACUUUAUUCUGCUGAAUGGUAGUCUCCCCCAUUAACAGCUAAAUUGAAAUUAACAGUAUUAACUGAAAAGAUCAAAAUAGUUUUGUUUAAAAGUUUUUCAUACAUAUCAACAAUAUAAGUAUUCAGCAUACUAGGAAAUCAGGUAGGACUCAAAUUUUUAACACUUCUUUUGAGCUGAGCUAGGAGCAGGUAUGUUCCAAACAGGAAAAAGAAAAAAUGCAACAAAACUCUGGAGCCUAUCUGUAGAGAAUUAAGAUUCUAAUAUUUUUUUAAAAUGUUGGCAAUUAAAGAACCUUGUAUCCAACAGGGAGUCAGAGAUCAGGGGUAACUUUCUGGAACCAACUGCCAACGUGUAGUCCUGUCAGCUAAACUUCACAAAGCCAGUUACCUCAGUAAUGCACGGGGCUUUCUUUCUGUAGAUACUA
rnacentral:lncRNA from 1 species